AGAAGUAAACGACCUUCCGCUUGUUGGAUGGCAUUCUGUCGUGACCGUCCAGGUAGGUCCGCUCCAAGUUUCAAAGUGAAUAGAAAUUUGACUGUUUCCUGUGGUUGUGUUAAUUGCAAUGAGGAAACUGUGGUUCAACAUUUUGAUUUCCUCUUAUUUAUAUCAACACCUUAAUAAUUGUGGAGAAAAUUGUUGUCGCCACGGGUGAAACUUGCUGACUUAUGCGGAUGGCAACAUACCAGCGAAAGGUCUCGCUUAUUCAUGGAAAAAUUUAACCGAGUUCUAAUGUGUUUUUACCCUGUCCUACGAUAGGGGUAUUUAUCCGGCAGAAAAUUAAUGGUUGUUAAACAAAAUAGUGAUAUGAAUGAAUGAAGGAAGACGAGAAUUUAUAUUCUGUUGUCAACAGAUACUCUGAUUAACUCAAUGGAAUCGUUAUGCAACAUGGAAAAGGCAGCAACUUUAUUAGCGCGUGUCGAUCAACCUGCUCUAUACCCAUUUAUAAAAUGUUUGACGUUCACGC